GUUUGAUCCUGGCUCAGAGCGAACGUUAGCGGCGCGCCUAACACAUGCAAGUCGCACGAGGAAAGGGGUCGAACCCCGGUACAGUGGCGCACGGGUGAGUAACACGUGGGUGAUCUGCCCAGAAGAAGGGGAUAACCUCUCGAAAGGGGGGCUAAUACCGCAUAGGACCACCGGGGCUUUUGGCUCUGUGGUGAAAGGGGGCCUCUGUUUACAAGCUCCUGCUUCUGGAUGAGCCCCGCGUCCCAUCAGCUAGUUGGUAGGGUAAUGGCCUACCAAGGCUACGACGGGUAGCUGGUCUAAGAGGAUGGCCAGCCACACUGGAACUGAGACACGGUCCAGACUCCUACGGAGGCAGCAGUGGGGAAUCUUGCGCAAUGGGCGAAGCCUGACGCAGCGACGCCGCGUGGGUG
rnacentral:rRNA from 1 species